rnacentral:rRNA from 1 species
CCCGAAAGAUCGAACGGGGAGAUUCAUCGUCGGCGGCGUCGGCUUCGCCGCGGCUCGCGAUGUCGCGUACCUCUCGCGGUGCACGGGGCACGUGGUCGCGUCGUGUUAUGUCGGGCGACGUGCGCGUGCUUUUCUCCCCGGGUAAAACGUCGCCACCCGUUGGGCGUCCGCAUAGGGCCCGCAGGGCACAGAGUGCCCGGGCGUAUAACCGCGCCGGAGGCAGACCGUCGCGGUUCGGCCGGCCGGCUGACCGACCGUGCACGCACGGUAUUUGGCCGCAUCGAACGUGCGCCCGGCCCGCCGCACGCGCGGCCAUUGAUUCCUGGUGGUCGGACCUACCGCCCUCCCCGGGCCUGGUCAGCUGUUGGCGCGCGGUGUCCUCGGGCUGGCCAAUCUUAUUUACAAAGAAAUACCGGUCGGCCACGCUAUUGCUUUGGGUACUUUCA